GAUGAACGCUGGCGGCGUGCUUAACACAUGCAGGUCGAACGGUGAACACGGAGCUUGCUCUGUGGGAUCAGUGGCGAACGGGUGAAUAACACGUGAGCAACCUGCCCCUGACUCUGGGAUAAGCGCUGGAAACGGCGUCUAAUACUGGAUAUGUGACGUGACCGCAUGGUCUGCGUUUGGAAAGAUUUUUCGGUUGGGGAUGGGCUCGCGGCCUAUCAGCUUGUUGGUGAGGUAAUGGCUCACCAAGGCGUCGACGGGUAGCCGGCCUGAGAGGGUGACCGGCCACACUGGGAUUGAGACACGGCCCAGACUCCUACGGGAGGCAGCAGUGGGGAAUAUUGCACAAUGGGCGAAAGCCUGAUGCAGCAACGCCGCGUGAGGGAUGACGGCCUUCGGGUUGUAAACCUUUUUUAGCAGGGAAGAAGCGAAAGUGACGGUACCUGCAGAAAAAGCGCCGGCUAACUACGUG
rnacentral:rRNA from 1 species